rnacentral:lncRNA from 1 species
AAUAUCCCAUCUAAACCUCCCUCUGUCAGUUUAAAAUCAUUGCCCCUCUUCCUGUCACUAUCAGCCCAUGUAAAAUGUCACUCUCCCUCCUUUUUUUACAACCCCAUUUAGGCACAGGAAGGAGCUCUCAGGUCCCCCUGGAGCCUUCUCCAGACUGAACAACCUCAGGUCUCCCAGCCUGUCUUUGUGGCAGAGGUGCUCCAGCUCCCAGAACAUCUUCAUGGCUGAUACUGCCAUGUCCCUCCCAAAAGCAGAUGUUCUCAAUGUACAACAGUCCCAGGGCUGGUGACUCUCUUUUACUCAGAGCUACAGCAGACUCGCAGAGGAGCUCUCAGGUGGUGUUAUCCAUAGGGUAACUGGAAUUUUCCUUCUCUGUAUGUGUGCACAAUGCUCAAAUCAUGUUAGGGCAGAAAUAGAGUUGUUUUGGAGAGCCUUUCCUAGGAUCUCAUUGAAGUUCCUCUGAAAGAGUUUUCCAGGAGUCCUGCUUAUAGAAAAAUUAAUCUGGUAGUAGUGACAGAAGAUGGGGAGGCAAGGGCAAGGCAGAGGGGGCUGAAAGAAGGUUGAUUUACAGAAAAACUGUAAUAGCUCAUAAGACAAGUCUUCAUCUGCAAGCCUGGAGAGAGUCAUGAGGGCUGGG